GACGAACGCUGGCGGCGUGCUUAACACAUGCAAGUCGAGCGGUAAGGCCCUUUCGGGGGUACGACGAGCGGCGAACGGGUGAGUAACACGUGGGUGACCUGCCCUCAGCUCUGGGAUAAGCCCGGGAAACUGGGUCUAAUACCGGAUAUGACUUCAUGACGCAUGUUGUGGAGUGGAAAGCCUUGUGCGGCUGAGGAUGGGCCCGCGGCCUAUCAGCUUGUUGGUGGGGUGANGGCCCUACCAAGGCGACGACGGGUAGCCGGCCUGAGAGGGCGACCGGCCACACUGGGACUGAGAUACGGCCCAGACUCCUACGGGAGGCAGCAGUGGGGAAUCUUGCGCAAUGGGCGAAAGCCUGACGCAGCGACGCCGCGUGAGGG
rnacentral:rRNA from 1 species